UCGAGCGGGGUUUUCGGACCUAGCGGCGGACGGGUGAGUAAUGCGUAGGAAGCUACCCGAUAGAGGGGGAUACCAGUUGGAAACGACUGUUAAUACCGCAUAAUGUCUACGGACCAAAGUGUGGGACCUUCGGGCCACAUGCUAUCGGAUGCGCCUACGUGGGAUUAGCUAGUUGGUGAGGUAAUGGCUCACCAAGGCGACGAUCUCUAGCUGGUUUGAGAGGAUGAUCAGCCACACUGGAACUGAGACACGGUCCAGACUCCUACGGGAGGCAGCAGUGGGGAAUAUUGGACAAUGGGCGCAAGCCUGAUCCAGCCAUGCCGCGUGUGUGAAGAAGGCCUUCGGGUUGUAAAGCACUUUCAGCGAGGAGGAAGGGGUUGUAGUUAAUAGCUGCAACCUUUGACGUUACUCGCAGAAGAAGCACCGGCUAACUCUGUGCCAGCAGCCGCGGUAAUACAGAGGGUGCAAGCGUUAAUCGGAAUUACUGGGCGUAAAGCGCACGCAGGCGGUUGGUUAAGUCAGAUGUGAAAGCCCCGGGCUCAACCUGGGAAUUGCAUUUGAAACUGGCCAACUAGAGUAUGUGAGAGGGGGGUAGAAUUCCAAGUGUAGCGGUGAAAUGCGUAGAGAUUUGGAGGAAUACCAGUGGCGAAGGCGGCCCCCUGGCACAAUACUGACGCUCAGGUGCGAAAGCGUGGGGAGCAAACAGGAUUAGAUACCCUGGUAGUCCACGCCGUAAACGAUGUCUACUAGCUGUUCGUGGUCUUGUACUGUGAGUAGCGCAGCUAACGCACUAAGUAGACCGCCUGGGGAGUACGGUCGCAAGAUUAAAACUCAAAUGAAUUGACGGGGGCCCGCACAAGCGGUGGAGCAUGUGGUUUAAUUCGACGCAACGCGAAGAACCUUACCUACUCUUGACAUCUAGCGAAGAUUGUAGAGAUACGAUUGUGCCUUCGGGAACGCUAAGACAGGUGCUGCAUGGCUGUCGUCAGCUCGUGUUGUGAAAUG
rnacentral:rRNA from 1 species